rnacentral:rRNA from 1 species
AUUGAACGCUGGCGGCAGGCCUAACACAUGCAAGUCGAACGGUAGCACAGAGAGCUUGCUCUCGGGUGACGAGUGGCGGACGGGUGAGUAACGUCUGGGAAACUGCCCGAUGGAGGGGGAUAACUACUGGAAACGGUAGCUAAUACCGCAUAACGUCGCAAGACCAAAGUGGGGGACCUUCGGGCCUCACACCAUCGGAUGUGCCCAGAUGGGAUUAGCUAGUAGGUGGGGUAAUGGCUCAACUAGGCGACGAUCCCUAGCUGGUCUGAGAGGAUGACCAGCCACACUGGAACUGAGACACGGUCCAGACUCCUACGGGAGGCAGCAGUGGAGAAUAUUGCACAAUGGGCGCAAGCCUGAUGCAGCCAUGCCGCGUGUAUGAAGAAGGCCUUCGGGUUGUAAAGUACUUUCAGCGGGGAGGAAGGCGGUGAAGUUAAUAACUUCACCGAUUGACGUUACCCGCAGAAGAAGCACCGGCUAACUCCGUGCCAGCAGCCGCAGUAA